ensembl:lncRNA
AUAUAUACCAAGCUAUGCAGAGGUUUUUUUUUAGAGUAAAAAUAGACAGCAGGAAAUCAUGCUAUAAUCUAAGAUUCUCUUUUUAGCGUGAGCCUGUUUGGCCUAAGAAACCACACAGUGCUCUGUGGAGACUUGUCCUAAUUUCUGGAGUAUUUAUCAGUGAGGAAAGAACCCAGGACUGAAAGUCAGGGCCCAGGUCUGGCUCUUCCACCAUUCUUCUUCUUCUUCUUCUUCUUUAUUUUUUUGCUGAGGAAGAUUGGCCCUGAGCUAACAUCUGUGCCAAUCUUCCUAUAUUUUAUGUGGGAUGCUGCCACAGCAUGGCCACUGACAAGUGGUAUAAGUCCAUGCCCAGGAACUGAAGCCAGUCUGCCGAAGUGGAGCACGCCAAGCUUAACCACUAGGCCAUGGGGCCAGCCCCUGCCACCAUUCUGCUGGGCAAGAUGGGGCAAGAAAUUUCAUUGCUUCAGUUCUCAAUUUUUUCAUUUAUUGAAGGACUACCCUGGGUUUCUCAACCUCAGUAGUGUAGAUACUUUGGCCUAGGUCAUUCUUUGUUAUGAAGGGCUUGCCCUAUACAUUAUACGGUGUUUAGCAGCUCCCUGGCCUCUACCCACUAGAGGCCAGUAGCACCCUCCACCUCUGCCCGAGUUGUGACAAUGAAAAAUGUCUCUAAACAUGAUCAAAUGUCCCCUGGGGGGCAAAAUCACCCCCAGUUGGGAACUACUGGCUAGAAGCAGAUUUUACAUUCACAGAAUAUGUGCUGAGAACACCCGAUGGGGAAGGCUCUGUGCUGUGCGCCUGGGACACAGAGGAGGAAAGAGGACAUGCCCUCCUGUCUGCGUGGAGCUUCCAUCUCAUGGGGAAGGAGAGUCUUCAGGCUAUUGGGAGACACGUGGACAGGUGUACUCCUGCACAUGCAGGAGUCAGGGAUCCUCUGCACCUGUUAUUCUGGGAACAUACAAGCCCUGGAUACACUCAGUCACUUCUUAAUAAGUGAUGUGUUUUGGCCCAUUGCCUCCUCAGUAAGUGGGGAAAAUGAAUACUCCCAUUUGGGGAUAGAGAACUAUUGUAACACAGGUGCACAAAUUGACGGGGAAAUGAAGAGUGGGUAUAAAGUGGGCACCAGAGCAGAAAGAGAUGAUUCUUAGGGCGUAAUUCUCAUCUAUCUCUGGGGUAAUGAUUUGGGCAUGUUUUCCUCUCUUGGCUGCCACGCUCAUGAGAAGAACUCAGCAGAGGUGAACUAGACCUGGCGCCUGGUGUAACUUUUCUUAGCCCUCAAUUUUCACACUCUUCUGGGGUGUUUGUAUUGUAAUGGGAUUAUCAGAACAUUCUAAAUACAGUUUUCUUUGAGAGGAAAAAAAGACACUUUUAGAAGAUGAUUUCUUCCUUCUAAGGAAUGCAUUCAUAGGAUAUUAAAUGGAUAGGCAUGAUAGCAUAGAUAUUGGGAGUCCAGGCUAAGGGGGUGGCAUAUUUGACUUCAUAAUUCUGACUCAGACCCUUAUGAGCUGUGCAAUUUAAAGCAAGUUGUUUGGCCUUUCUGUGCUUUGUUUUUUUCCACUAGUAAAAUGGAAAUACUGAUAGUAUUUACCUCACAAGGUUGUUGUGAGGAUUAAAAGACCUUGAAAAGAACCUGGCAUACAGAACCACUAAUUAUGUUUUGGAAAGAAAUUCUGAGGAGUCUGGAAUCACCAGGUGACAUGAAUAAGAUCCUAGUUUACUAAGGUCGUGAGUAGAUUUCUGCAAAGCACUGUGUUUAGUGACCCAGGUUAUGCCCUUCUCAGCCCUUUCAAAUCCUUCUAACAUAAGCGCAGGCCUAGUACUGGCUUAUGUCAUCUACAAAAUAGGGGAAAUUAAACAUUAUUUUUAUCCAAGGUCAGGCAUUUGAACCAGAAGAUUUCUGGAAAAUCCAUCCCACCUAUAAAACCCCUGGUUUUGAAUUAUUCUGGAUUCUUACAAAUUCUGUUUAGCUUCUGUGGCUCUGUAAAAUAUGAAAAAUUGAUCUCAUCCCCACUCUAUUGCUCAAAUAUUAGGUGAGGACUUGAGAAAGAUGCCUCAGCUGAUUGGAAGGAGGGCUUUGUGAGCUCUGUGCUAGGUGCUGGGGAUGCCUGUGAGAGAGACAAUCAAG